rnacentral:lncRNA from 1 species
UUUAGUAUAUGUAUGUUCUGGAGAUUCAUCAAGGUUGCCUCGAGCCCGAUUGUCUCAUUCACCUGCAAGGUAGUCGUUGUAGACUGAUUAUCUGACCAAAUACCAAUUGUAUGGAAGUGGUUAGCAUGAAGUUUAUUUUUGUGUAAAUUGGUCAAUUAAUUAAUAGAGUAUUGAUACGCAGACGAGACUUUUUAUGUUUCAGUAUUCU